rnacentral:rRNA from 1 species
AUUGCACGCUGGCGACAGGCCUAACACAUGCAAGUCGAGCGGAGCGGCGGACGGGUGAGUAAUGCCUAGGAAUCUGCCUGGUAGUGGGGGAUAACGUCCGGAAACGGGUGCUACUACCGCAUACUAUCAGAUGAGCCUAGGUGGGAUUAGCUAGUUGUUGGGGUAACGGCCUACCAAGGCGACGAUCCGUAACUGGUCUGAGAGGAUGAUAAGUCGCACUGGAAGUGGGGCACGGUCCAGACACCGACGGUAGGCAGCAGUGGGGACUAUAGGACAAUUGGCUAAAGCCUGGUCCAUCCAUGCCGCGGUUGUGAAGAAGGUCUUCGGAUUGUAAAGCACUUUAAGUUGUGAGGCGUUACCAACAGAAUAAGCACCGGCUAACUUCGUGCCAGCAGCCGCGGUAAUUC